rnacentral:rRNA from 1 species
CAGCAGCCGCGGGAAUACGUAGGGUGCGAGCGUUAAUCGGAAUUACUGGGCGUAAAGCGUGCGCAGGCGGUUUUGUAAGACAGGCGUGAAAUCCCCGGGCUCAACCUGGGAAUGGCGCUUGUGACUGCAAAGCUAGAGUGCGGCAGAGGGGGAUGGAAUUCCGCGUGUAGCAGUGAAAUGCGUAGAUAUGCGGAGGAACACCGAUGGAGAAGGCAAUCCCCUGGGCCUGCACUGACGCUCAUGCACGAAAGCGUGGGGAGCAAACAGGAUUAGAUACCCCCGUAGUCCCUGUCUCUUAUAA